rnacentral:rRNA from 1 species
GAUGAACGCUGGCGGCGUGCCUAAUACAUGCAAGUCGAACGCGAGAGGAGGGAGCUUGCUCCCUCUGAUCGAGUGGCGGACGGGUGAGUAACACGUAGGCCACCUGCCCAUCAGCCGGGGAUAACUGCGGGAAACCGUGGCUAAUACCGGAUAAUCCUCCCCGCCGCGGGGUGGGGAGUUGAAAGACGGUUCCGGCUGUCGCUGAGGGAUGGGCCUGCGGCGCAUUAGCUGGUUGGCGGGGUAACGGCCCACCAAGGCAACGAUGCGUAGCCGACCUGAGAGGGUGAUCGGCCACACUGGGACUGAGACACGGCCCAGACUCCUACGGGAGGCAGCAGUAGGGAAUCUUCCGCGAUGGACGCAAGUCUGACGGAGCAACGCCGCGUGAGUGAAGAAGGGUUUCGGCUCGUAAAACUCUGUUGUUAAGGAAGAACGCCAGGUAGAGUAACUGCUACCUGUGUGACGGUACUUAACCAGAAAGCCACGGCUAACUACGUGCCAGCCGCCGCAGUAA